rnacentral:rRNA from 1 species
GAUGAACGCUGGCGGCGUGCCUAAUACAUGCAAGUCGAGCGAACAGACGAGGAGCUUGCUCCUCUGACGUUAGCGGCGGACGGGUGAGUAACACGUGGAUAACCUACCUAUAAGACUGGGAUAACUUCGGGAAACCGGAGCUAAUACCGGAUAACAUGCUGAACCGCAUGGUGCAACAGUGAAAGACGGUUUUGCGGUCACUUCUAGAUGGAUCCGCGUCGCUUUAGCUAGUUGUUAAGGUAAAGGCUUACCAAGGGAACGAUGCGUAGCCGACCUGAGAGGGUGAUAGGCCACACUGGAGCUGAGCCACGCUCCAGACUCCUGCGGGACGCAGCAGUAGGGAAUCUUCCGCAAUGGGCGAAAGCCUGACGGAGCAACGCCGCGUGAGUUAAGAAGGUCUUCGGAUCGUAAAACUCUGUUAUUAGGGAAGAACCAAUGUGUAAGGAACUAUGCACGUCUUGACGGUAACUAAUCAGAAAGCCACGGCUAACUACGUG